rnacentral:misc_RNA from 1 species
UUGAUUCGGCCUUUUUAUCAACCCCUGUGCAAUGCGAAAUGGGGAGGUGGGCGAGGGCGUGAGGGAGGGAGGGGGUUCGGCUGGGUGCCUGUCUCCCCCUCCUUUUCGGCUUGUCCUCAACCGCCACCCCGUCAUCCUAAAAAAACACAUUUUUUGACGCUUCUGAGUUUCACAAACAAAUGAGACA